AGGAAAUAGAUACCCGGGUAGUCCACGCUGUAAACGAUGAGUGCUGGACGUUGGCGGGUUUACCUGCCGGUGUCGCAGCUAAACGCGUUAAGCACUCCGCCUGGGGAGUACGGCCGCAAGGUUAAAACUCAAAGGAAUUGACGGGGCCCGGCACAAGCGGUGGAGCAUGUGGUUUAAUUACGACGCAACGCGCAGAACCUUACCAGCCCUUCGACAUGGGCGGGACGGGGUUCCGACGAGAUGGACGUCUUUCUUCGCAGAGACGCUACACAGGUGCUGCAUGGCGUGUCGUCAGCUCGUGUCGUGAGAUGUUGGGUUAAGU
rnacentral:rRNA from 1 species